UAGGUGGUUUGUCGCGUUGUCCGUGAAAACUCACAGCUCAACUGUGGGCGUGCGGGCGAUACGGGCAGACUGGAGUACUGCAGGGGAGACUGGAAUUCCUGGUGUAGCGGUGGAAUGCGCAGAUAUCAGGAGGAACACCAGUGGCGAAGGCGGGUCUCUGGGCAGUAACUGACGCUGAGGAGCGAAAGCGUGGGGAGCGAACAGGAUUAGAUACCCUGGUAGUCCACGCCGUAAACGGUGGGUACUAGGUGUGGGUUUCCUUCCUUGGGAUCCGUGCCGU
rnacentral:rRNA from 1 species